rnacentral:rRNA from 1 species
GAUGAACGCUGGCGGCGUGCCUAAUACAUGCAAGUUGAGCGAACAGACGAGGAGCUUGCUCCUCUGACGUUAGCGGCGGACGGGUGAGUAACACGUGGAUAACCUACCUAUAAGACUGGGAUAACUUCGGGAAACCGGAGCUAAUACCGGAUAAUAUAUUGAACCGCAUGGUUCAAUAGUGAAAGUCGGUUUUGCUGUCACUUAUAGAUGGAUCCGCGCCGCAUUAGCUAGUUGGUAAGGUAACGGCUUACCAAGGCGACGAUGCGUAGCCGACCUGAGAGGGUGAUCGGCCACACUGGAACUGAGACACGGUCCAGACUCCUACGGGAGGCAGCAGUAGGGAAUCUUCCGCAAUGGGCGAAAGCCUGACGGAGCAACGCCGCGUGAGUGAUGAAGGUCUUCGGAUCGUAAAACUCUGUUAUUAGGGAAGAACAAAUGUGUAAGUAACUAUGCACGUCUUGACGGUACCUAAUCAGAAAGCCACGGCUAACUACGUG